ACGGGUUAGGCUAGCAGUGGGGUAAUAUUGCACAAUGGGCGCCAAGCAUGAUCCAGCCAUGCCGUCGUGGAGAUGAUGCACGGCCCUUAGGGUUGUAAAGUUCCUUUCAUCCGGUGAAGAAUCAUGACGGUAAUCCGGAUGAACUAAUGCUCCCGGCUAGCUUCGUGCACGACGCCGCAGGUCUUCCC
rnacentral:rRNA from 1 species